UGGCCCCAGAGGUGUUGCGCAAUGAACCAUCAAAUGAGAAGUGUGAUGUGUACAGCUUUGGAGUGAUAUUAUGGGAACUGGCAACUCUAAGGAUGCCUUGGUCUGGUAUGAACCCAAUGCAGGUGGUGGGUGUUGUUGGCUUCCUGGAUCGCCGUCUAAAGAUUCCAAAAGAUGUUGAUCCUCUCGUAGCCAAAAUGAUCUUGCAGUGCUGGCAAAAAGAUCCAAACUUGCGGCCUUCCUUUGGGGAUCUCACAACAACUCUCAAGUCUUUACAACUGCUUAUUGUCCCUGCUUAUCAAGAUGCACAAAACCCACCUUUGGCAUAAGAAAUACCAAUAAACACAAUGACUUCAACAUAUUGAACGGUAAAUAAGCUAAGAGUAUCCAUCCGUUUAUUGCUUUUUGUAGUGUUUAGUAGUGCCCUUAAAUUAGGAGAUGUGAAGUGAAAUGCUAGUUUAGUUUGCCUUUUGGGCAAGAGCAAAAAGUAAUGCCCACUUGGCCUGUGUUUAUGUUUUGUUCUGGAGACUGUACAUGAAUG